rnacentral:lncRNA from 1 species
GUGGUCCGACAUUGGAGGGCUAUGGGUUUUGGCGUAAUGGGGGAGGAGAAAUGAGAUCCGUGGUGGUGCGCGGCGGUGAUUACGACGGUGAUGAGAGGAGAAAAAGAAGAUGAUAGGAGGUACAGCAACCACGAGGCGUGGUGAACGAUGUUGGAGGGUUUGGUCAUGUUAGAGGAAAGAAACAAAGAUUAAAAGAAUGGGUGGUGGUUAUUUUGCAAAAUGGAGAGAAAAUAGAUGAGAAGAGAAAUGAAAAAGAGAGAAAAUAGGAGUAAGAGGGAGGUAGGGAUGGCAAAGUGAGGUUGGGAGAAUGAGAAUAGGUUGGUCAACUAGGUUUAGGUUCAAUGAACCUUUU